rnacentral:rRNA from 1 species
UACGUAGGUGGCAAGCGUUGUCCGGAUUUACUGGGUGUAAAGGGCGUGUAGCCGGGCUGACAAGUCAGAUGUGAAAUUCCGGGGCUCAACCCCGGACCUGCAUUUGAAACUGGGGAUCUAGAGUGUGCGAGAGGUAUGCGGAAUGCGUGGUGUAGCGGUGAAAUGCAUAGAUAUCACGCAGAACCCCGAUUGCGAAGGCAGCAUACCGGUGCACAACUGACGCUCAGGCACGAAAGCGUGGGUAUCGAACAGG